GAUGAACGCUGGCGGCGUGCCUAAUACAUGCAAGUCGAGCGAACGGACGAGAAGCUUGCUUCUCUGAUGUUAGCGGCGGACGGGUGAGUAACACGUGGAUAACCUACCUAUAAGACUGGGAUAACUUCGGGAAACCGUAGCUAAUACCGGAUAAUAUUUUGAACCGCAUGGUUCAAAAGUGAAAGACGGUCUUGCUGUCACUUAUAGAUGGAUCCGCGCUGCAUUAGCUAGUUGGUAAGGUAACGGCUUACCAAGGCAACGAUGCAUAGCCGACCUGAGAGGGUGAUCAGCCACACUGGAACUGAGACACGGUCCAGACUCCUACGGGAGGCAGCAGUAGGGAAUCUUCCGCAAUGGGCGCAAGCCUGACGGAGCAACGCCGCGUGAGUGAUGAAGGUCUUCGGAUCGUAAAACUCUGUUAUUAGGGAAGAACAUAUGUGUAAGUAACUGUGCACAUCUUGACGGUACCUAAUCAGAAAGCCACGGCUAACUUCGUG
rnacentral:rRNA from 1 species